UAAUAUAAGGGUUAAAGCCCCCUUCAGCUCCU
rnacentral:tRNA from 1 species